rnacentral:rRNA from 1 species
CCUACGGGUGGCUGCAGUGAGGAAUAUUGGUCAAUGGACGAGAGUCUGAACCAGCCAAGUCGCGUGAAGGAUGACUGCCCUAUGGGUUGUAAACUUUUUUUAUAUGGGAAUAAAACGUUCCACGUGUGGGAUUUUGUAUGUACCAUAUGAAUAAGGAACGGCUAACUCCGUUCCAGCAGCCGCGGUAAUACGGAGGAUCCGAGCGUUAUCCGGAUUUAUUGGGUUUAAAGGGAGCGUAGGUGGAUUGUUAAGUCAGUUGUGAAAGUUUGCGGCUCAACCGUAAAAUUGCAGUUGAAACUGGCAGUCUUGAGUACAGUAGAGGUGGGCGGAAUUCGUGGUGUAGCGGUGAAAUGCUUAGAUAUCACGAAGAACUCCGAUGGCGAAGGCAGUUCACUGGACUGCAACUGACACUGAGGCUCGAAAGUGUGGGUAUCAAACAGGAUUAGAUACCCGAGUAGUC